UACGAGCGCACCCUUGUCCUUAUUUGCCAGCGCGUAAUGGCGGGAACUCUAAGGAGACUGCCGGUGACAAACCGGAGGAAGGUGGGGACGACGUCAAGUCAUCAUGGCCCUUACGAGUAGGGCUACACACGUGCUACAAUGGUCGGUACAAAGGGUUGCCAACUCGCGAGAGUGAGCCAAUCCCGAAAAGCCGAUCUCAGUCCGGAUCGGAGUCUGCAACUCGACUCCGUGAAGUCGGAAUCGCUAGUAAUCGUGGAUCAGAAUGCCACGGUGAAUACGUUCCCGGGCCUUGUACACACCGCCCGUCACACCAUGGGAGUGGACUGCACCAGAAGUGGUUAGCCUAACGCAAGAGGGCGAUCACCACGGUGUGGUUCACGACUGGGGUGAAGUCGUAACAAGGUAGCCGUAGGGGAACCUGCGGCUGGAUCACCUCCUU
rnacentral:rRNA from 1 species